UUGUGGGGCUCGUUUCACAGAAUUGUAGGGGUUGGAAGGGACCUCCAGAAAUGAUCGGGUCCAACUCCCCUGCCAAAGCAGGUUUCCUAGAGCAGGUUGCACAAGUAGGCGUCCAGACGGGGCUUGUAUAUCUGCAGAGUCCACAGCCUCCCUGGGCAGCCUGUUCCAGUGCUCUGUCACCCUCACCGUGAAGAAGUUUUUUUGCAUGCUGGAGCGGAACUUCCUGUGAUCCAUGUUGUGGCCAUUACCCUUUGUCCUGUCCCCACAGACCACUGAAAAGCGGUUGGCCAUAUCCCUGUGUCUCCCACGCCUCAGGUAUUUAUAGACAUUGAUAAGACCCCCUCUCAGUCUUCUUUUCUCCAGGCUGACCAGAGCCAGGUCUCUCAGCCUUUCCUCCUAGGGGAGAUGCUCCUGUAUCCUGUCUGUGAGCCUCCGCUGGACUCUUUCCAGGAGAUCCCAGUCUUUUUUGUACUGGGGAGCCCAGAACUGGACACAGUACUCCAGGUGAGGCCUGACCAAGGCAGAGUAGAGGGGCAGCAUCACCUCCCUUGACCUGCUGUCCAUGCUCCUUUUAAUGCACCCCAGGAUCCCGUUGGUCUUCUUGGCCACCAGGGCACACUGCUGGCUCAUGGCCAACCUGUUGUCCACCAGGCCCCGCAGGUCCUUCUCCGCAGAGCUCCUCUCCAGCAGGUCAUCCCCCAGUCUGUACUAAUACUUGCGGUUGUUCCUUCCCAGGUCCAGGACUCUACACUUGCUCUUAUUAAACCUUAUUUGGUUUCUUCCUGCCUAGCUCUCCAGCCUGUCCAGGUCUCGCUGAAUGGUAGCACAGCCUUCUGGCAUGUCAGCCACUCCUCUAUCAAAGUUCUGUAGGAUAACGAAUGCAAACCUAGACUGGCUUAAAUGGAAAAUCACAGAUGGACUCAAAGCUUUAGACCCAGAUUUACAGCAACAUGGUGUGCUGUUGAUUUCUCACAAAGAAGUCAUCAAAAACACAGCUCUAAGAAGCUUCUGCACUGAAAGAAAUGACGUGUUUGCAGCUCAGAAGCUAAGGAAGCUGCCAAAAACCAUAAGGACUUGCAGCGUGAAUGGUGGGAAAUCAAGACACUGAGCAGGAGAAAGGCCUUACAUUUGAUACCUAAAUACAACACAGUUAGAAAUCUCUAUGAGGAGAAAAAGGGAAAGAGAAAUAAUUAAGCUUCUUUGUACUGUUUGUUUCUCAAAUGGCAACUCCUUUACCCUCCCCCCCUACACUUCUGUUCAUGCAGAAAUGUAAGUUAUUCAAUUUCCUUUGAGCCCAAAGGAUUUUUUUCAGAUGGAUUAUCUCAUAUCGUGGAAUGACACUUAAUAAUACAUCAUGAUACAAUGAGUUGUGCACCAAAUUUCUUUAAGUAUAAAAUAGCACCAGGUGAUGUGGCAAAGGUUUCGAUGUAACUUCUC
rnacentral:lncRNA from 1 species